GGGGGCAUAGCUCAGUUGGGAGAGCAGCAGACUGAAGACGUUCUUGUAUUCUGAAGGUCCCGCGUUCGAUCCGCGGUGCCCCCA